rnacentral:rRNA from 1 species
UACGUAGGGUGCGAGCGUUGUCCGGAAUUAUUGGGCGUAAAGAGCUUGUAGGCGGUUUGUCGCGUCCGCUGUGAAAAUCCGAGGCUCAACCUCGGACUUGCAGUGGGUACGGGCAGACUAGAGUGUGGUAGGGGAGACUGGAAUUCCUGGUGUAGCGGUGGAAUGCGCAGAUAUCAGGAGGAACACCGAUGGCGAAGGCAGGUCUCUGGGCCAUUACUGACACUGAGAAGCGAAAGCAUGGGGAGCGAACAGG